rnacentral:rRNA from 1 species
ACACGUGGAUAACCUGCCUCAAGGCUGGGGAUAACAUUUGGAAACAGAUGCUAAUACCGAAUAAAACUUAGUAUCGCAUGAUAUCAAGUUAAAAGGCGCUACGGCGUCACCUAGAGAUGGAUCCGCGGUGCAUUAGUUAGUUGGUGGGGUAAAGGCUUACCAAGACGAUGAUGCAUAGCCGAGUUGAGAGACUGAUCGGCCACAUUGGGACUGAGACACGGCCCAAACUCCUACGGGAGGCUGCAGUAGGGAAUCUUCCACAAUGGGCGCAAGCCUGAUGGAGCAACGCCGCGUGUGUGAUGAAGGCUUUCGGGUCGUAAAGCACUGUUGUAUGGGAAGAAAUGCUAAAAUAGGGAAUGAUUUUAGUUUGACGGUACCAUACCAGAAAGGGACGGCUAAAUACGUGCCAGCAGCCGCGGUAAUACGUAUGUCCCGAGCGUUAUCCGGAUUUAUUGGGCGUAAAGCGAGCGCAGACGGUUGAUUAAGUCUGAUGUGAAAGCCCGGAGCUCAACUCCGGAAUGGCAUUGGAAACUGGUUAACUUGAGUGUUGUAGAGGUAAGUGGAACUCCAUGUGUAGCGGUGGAAUGCGUAGAUAUAUGGAAGAACACCAGUGGCGAAGGCGGCUUACUGGACAACAACUGACGUUGAGGCUCGAAAGUGUGGGUAGCAAACAGGAUUAGAUACCCUGGUAGUCCACACCGUAAACGAUGAAUACUAGGUGUUAGGAGGUUUCCGCCUCUUAGUGCCGAAGCUAACGCAUUAAGUAUUCCGCCUGGGGAGUACGACCGCAAGGUUGAAACUCAAAGGAAUUGACGGGGACCCGCACAAGCGGUGGAGCAUGUGGUUUAAUUCGAAGCAACGCGAAGAACCUUACCAGGUCUUGACAUCCUUUGAAGCUUUUAGAGAUAGAAGUGUUCUCUUCGGAGACAAAGUGACAGGUGGUGCAUGGUCGUCGUCAGCUCGUGUCGUGAGAUGUUGGGUUAAGUCCCGCAACGAGCGCAACCCUUAUUGUUAGUUGCCAGCAUUCAGUUGGGCACUCUAGCGAGACUGCCGGUGACAAACCGGAGGAAGGCGGGGACGACGUCAGAUCAUCAUGCCCCUUAUGACCUGGGCUACACACGUGCUACAAUGGCGUAUACAACGAGUUGCCAACCUGCGAAGGUGAGCUAAUCUCUUAAAGUACGUCUCAGUUCGGACUGCAGUCUGCAACUCGACUGCACGAAGUCGGAAUCGCUAGUAAUCGCGGAUCAGCACGCCGCGGUGAAUACGUUCCCGGGUCUUGUACACACCGCCCGUCACACCAUGGGAGUUUGUAAUGCCCAAAGCCGGUGGCCUAACCUCGGGAGGGAG